CGCAGCCUACGGGAGGCAGCAGUGGGGGAUAUUGCACAAUGGGGGGAACCCUGAUGCAGCGACGCCGCGUGGGCGAUGGAGUGCUUCGGCAUGUAAAGCCCUAUCAGCAGGGAAGAAAAUGACGGUACCUGACUAAGAAGCCCCGGCUAAAUACGUGCCAGCAGCCGCGGUAAUACGUAUGGUGCAAGCGUUAUCCGGAUUUACUGGGUGUAAAGGGAGCGCAGGCGGCGCGUUAAGCCUGGUGUGAAAGCCCGCGGCCCAACCGCGGGACUGCAUUGGGAACUGGCGCGCUGGAGUGCCGGAGG
rnacentral:rRNA from 1 species